UACGAAGGGGGCUAGCGUUGCUCGGAAUCACUGGGCGUAAAGCGCACGUAGGCGGAUUGUUAAGUCAGGGGUGAAAUCCUGGAGCUCAACUCCAGAACUGCCUUUGAUACUGGCGAUCUCGAGUCCGGGAGAGGUGAGUGGAACUGCGAGUGUAGAGGUGAAAUUCGUAGAUAUACGCAAGAACACCAGUGGCGAAGGCGGCUGACUGGUCCGGAUCUGACGCUGAGGCGCGAAAGCGUGGGGAGCAAACAGG
rnacentral:rRNA from 1 species